GUUGUUCACUGUUAAGCCUGGAGCCAGGUAGAGCCCCUCUGGUAAUGUAAACCCUCCCAUUUUCCUGCAGCUAAUCUAAUUUCACCUCCUCCCAGACCUCGCAUGCCAGGAAUGAUGCUGAACUCUUCCUACACUGCCUCUGAUGCAUUUUUGAAUGGUAGCAAAUCUGAUCUCAAAGGAGAGAAUUGACCCUGGCCUGAUGAAGAAAAUGGGAAUCAGUCCUUUGGAAGGAUCAGGAAGCAGCUGAUUGGGCAGGGUAGCAAUCUUUCUGCAUUGAAGUCCCCAUUUUCCUUGGGACAUGGCGGGGCCAGCAAGGGGUUAGAGGAUGAUUCCCAGGUGUGUGGCUCUCCAGAGCAGCGAGAGGCAUCAGAGUGGCCUCCUCCUUCUUAUUUGUGACAGACAGGGAGCCACACUUCGGAGGGCAUCGACUGCUUCUCCCCAUCAGCCAGCUGCGAAGAGGAGUCGCUCCGGGAACAGCGCCGCCCUCCCCUCGUUUGCUUUUCUUCCUCUAUUAUUCCUGACAUGUUCUCUGAACUACAGACUGCAUAUGUUUAAAAAUAAUUAAACGCGCUCCAAACAAAUAGGCAAUGUUUCCACGAUCCCUGCAAUGAACGUUCUGCGUGUUUUGACAGAUUUUUCUGUUCGUUGGAUUCAUCAAGCAGCCUGGCUCUUUGCUGUCAUUCCCGACAACCUUGCAGAUAAACCCCCAGGGCAAACUCUCUGGCCUGAGCUCCUUCCUGGGCCCUGAUCUUGGGCACAGAGAACUUCCAGCCUGAGAGUCCCCAGACCUUCAGGGGAAUCCAUGUCUGGGCUCCCAGGACAAAGUGGUUCACAAAUGGAGCCAUUAGACAAAAGGGAGACUAGCUAAAUAAAUGUGGGGUUCUGUUUUGAAUGGCACUGCUAUAUUGCACUAAGAAAAGAGACUAGAAGGAAAUCCUAUGAGAAAACUGAAAGAUUACCGAGGCGCAUUAGGACCGUUCUCACCCCUCCCCGCUGGCAAAUCCUGACCUUCCACAUCCCUGCAUGUCACCCCCCAUUCUUUUUAAAAAAUUAAAAUCUCUCUACUAAAAAAUGAAGAUAAAGGAGAAGAUAUAGUUUAUAAAGCUACAUAAAAUACAAUAUAACCAAAUAAAUGAAAGUAUGUAUAAAGAAAGCUAAUUAACGAGAAAAUACUGUAAAAAGGUAAGAAGAGACUUGGUGAAUUUAGGGCAUAAAAAAGAUGCUAAAAUUAAGAGAAGCCUAAUUGAUUCCCCAACAGAGAUGAAGGUCUUCCUCAUACAAAGGAUACAUGGGAUAUCAUCAACAAUGUCCUCUUCAGUAUUCAUUAAGGAACAAAUUCAUAGAUAAGUGAGAGUGUCUUUAUCUCUCAACAUAGGCUUACCACAUCUUGCAAAAGUGUAACUACUCUGGAGGAAUUCAGAGGAGUAAGGAGCGUAUGGAUGUGUAUGUCUGAGUUGUGACAAAGGAAGAGGGUGAGAGAGGAAGGGGAGGAGUGAUCAAUACGGCUGGAUUCUGAACACAGCUCUAAUGGUCUGGCUUAAUCCAGGGACAACUUUGAGCAACCAUAGGAAUGGAUAUUCUUUAAAUUCUUGGGAAAUAUGCUCAACUGCGAUUUGAAUCAAUAUUGACAGCAAUUAAUGUGCAGGGACAUUCAUUUACCCAUUGACUGCUCCAACAGUUGGUGGUGUCCAAGGAAGUCUUAAUAUCACGUGAAUAUUAAAGAGCCAAGAACAACCUGCAGGAAGGUUCAAGUUUCUCCUCAGGGAGGGAUGUUUUAGUGUGCUGCAAAACUGUUUAUCAAAGUACUCAAUUCUACACCAGGAAUUGGCAAACUGCAGCCUGUGGGUCAAAUCAAGCCUGCACUAGUUUUUAUGUGGCCUGAGAACCAUAGUCUGGGCCUUGUUUUUAAUGGCUGAGAAAAAAAACCGAAAGAAGAAUAAUAGUUUAUAAUGUGACAAUUACUUGAAAUUCAAUUUCAGGAUUCAUAA